rnacentral:rRNA from 1 species
GAUGAACGCUGGCGGCGUGCCUAAUACAUGCAAGUCGAGCGAACGGACGAGAAGCUUGCUUCUCUGAUGUUAGCGGCGGACGGGUGAGUAACACGUGGAUAACCUACCUAUAAGACUGGGAUAACUUCGGGAAACCGGAGCUAAUACCGGAUAAUAUUUUGAACCGCAUGGUUCAAAAGUGGAAGACGGUCUUGCUGUCACUUAUAGAUGGAUCCGCGCUGCAUUAGCUAGUUGGUAAGGUAACGGCUUACCAAGGCAACGAUGCAUAGCCGACCUGAGAGGGUGAUCAGCCACACUGGAACUGAGACACGGUCCAGACUCCUACGGGAGGCAGCAGUAGGGAAUCUUCCGCAAUGGGCGAAAGCCUGACGGAGCAACGCCGCGUGAGUGAUGAAGGUCUUCGGAUCGUAAAACUCUGUUAUUAGGGAAGAACAUAUGUGUAAGUAACUGUGCACAUCUUGACGGUACCUAAUCAGAAAGCCACGGCUAACUACGUGCCAGCAGCCGCGGUAAUACGUAGGUGGCAAGCGUUAUCCGGAAUUAUUGGGCGUAAAGCGCGCGUAGGCGGUUUUUUAAGUCUGAUGUGAAAGCCCACGGCUCAACCGUGGAGGGUCAUUGGAAACUGGAAAACUUGAGUGCAGAAGAGGAAAGUGGAAUUCCAUGUGUAGCGGUGAAAUGCGCAGAGAUAUGGAGGAACACCAGUGGCGAAGGCGACUUUCUGGUCUGUAACUGACGCUGAUGUGCGAAAGCGUGGGGAUCAAACAGGAUUAGAUACCCUGGUAGUCCACGCCGUAAACGAUGAGUGCUAAGUGUUAGGGGGUUUCCGCCCCUUAGUGCUGCAGCUAACGCAUUAAGCACUCCGCCUGGGGAGUACGACCGCAAGGUUGAAACUCAAAGGAAUUGACGGGGACCCGCACAAGCGGUGGAGCAUGUGGUUUAAUUCGAAGCAACGCGAAGAACCUUACCAAAUCUUGACAUCCUUUGACAACUCUAGAGAUAGAGCCUUCCCCUUCGGGGGACAAAGUGACAGGUGGUGCAUGGUUGUCGUCAGCUCGUGUCGUGAGAUGUUGGGUUAAGUCCCGCAACGAGCGCAACCCUUAAGCUUAGUUGCCAUCAUUAAGUUGGGCACUCUAAGUUGACUGCCGGUGACAAACCGGAGGAAGGUGGGGAUGACGUCAAAUCAUCAUGCCCCUUAUGAUUUGGGCUACACACGUGCUACAAUGGACAAUACAAAGGGCAGCGAAACCGCGAGGUCAAGCAAAUCCCAUAAAGUUGUUCUCAGUUCGGAUUGUAGUCUGCAACUCGACUACAUGAAGCUGGAAUCGCUAGUAAUCGUAGAUCAGCAUGCUACGGUGAAUACGUUCCCGGGUCU